rnacentral:rRNA from 1 species
GAUGAACGCUAGCGGCAGGCCUAACACAUGCAAGUCGAGGGGCAGCACAGAAACAGCAAUGUUUUGGUGGCGACCGGCGGACGGGUGCGUAACGCGUAUGCAACCUACCUUUAACAGGGGGAUAACGGAGAGAAAUUUCCACUAAUACCCCAUAACACCGAUCAAGGCAUCUUGAUUGGUUGAAAACUCCGGUGGUUAAAGAUGGGCAUGCGUUGUAUUAGGUAGUUGGUGAGGUAAUGGCUCACCAAGCCUACGAUACAUAGGGGGACUGCGAGGUUAGCCCCACACACUGGUACUGAAACACGGACCAGAAUCCUACGGGAGGCAGCAGUGAGGAAUAUUGGUCAAUGGGGGCAACCCUGAACCAGCCAUGCCGCGUGCAGGAAGACGGCUCUAUGAGUUGUAAACUGCUUUUAAACAGGGAUAAAGCACAGUAUGUAUACUGUGUUGAAGGUACUGUAAGAAUAAGGAUCGGCUAACUCCGUGCCAGCCGCCGCGGUAA